rnacentral:rRNA from 1 species
GAACGCUGGCGGCAGGCCUAACACAUGCAAGUCGAACGGUAACAGGAAUCAGCUUGCUGAUUCGCUGACGAGUGGCGGACGGGUGAGUAAUGUCUGGGAAACUGCCUGAUGGAGGGGGAUAACUACUGGAAACGGUAGCUAAUACCGCAUAACGUCGCAAGACCAAAGAGGGGGACCUUCGGGCCUCUUGCCAUCGGAUGUGCCCAGAUGGGAUUAGCUAGUAGGUGGGGUAAAGGCUCACCUAGGCGACGAUCCCUAGCUGGUCUGAGAGGAUGACCAGCCACACUGGAACUGAGACACGGUCCAGACUCCUACGGGAGGCAGCAGUGGGGAAUAUUGCACAAUGGGCGCAAGCCUGAUGCAGCCAUGCCGCGUGUAUGAAGAAGGCCUUCGGGUUGUAAAGUACUUUCAGCGGGGAGGAAGGGAGUAAAGUUAAUACCUUUGCUCAUUGACGUUACCCGCAGAGGAAGCACCGGCUAACUCCGUGCCAGCAGCCGCGGUAAUACGGAGGGUGCAAGCGUUAAUCGGAAUUACUGGGCGUAAAGCGCACGCAGGCGGUUUGUUAAGUCAGAUGUGAAAUCCCCGGGCUCAACCUGGGAACUGCAUCUGAUACUGGCAAGCUUGAGUCUCGUAGAGGGGGGUAGAAUUCCAGGUGUAGCGGUGAAAUGCGUAGAGAUCUGGAGGAAUACCGGUGGCGAAGGCGGCCCCCUGGACGAAGACUGACGCUCAGGUGCGAAAGCGUGGGGAGCAAACAGGAUUAGAUACCCUGGUAGUCCACGCCGUAAACGAUGUCGACUUGGAGGUUGUGCCCUUGAGGCGUGGCUUCCGGAGCUAACGCGUUAAGUCGACCGCCUGGGGAGUACGGCCGCAAGGUUAAAACUCAAAUGAAUUGACGGGGGCCCGCACAAGCGGUGGAGCAUGUGGUUUAAUUCGAUGCAACGCGAAGAACCUUACCUGGUCUUGACAUCCACGGAAGUUUUCAGAGAUGAGAAUGUGCCUUCGGGAACCGUGAGACAGGUGCUGCAUGGCUGUCGUCAGCUCGUGUUGUGAAAUGUUGGGUUAAGUCCCGCAACGAGCGCAACCCUUAUCCUUUGUUGCCAGCGGUCCGGCCGGGAACUCAAAGGAGACUGCCAGUGAUAAACUGGAGGAAGGUGGGGAUGACGUCAAGUCAUCAUGGCCCUUACGACCAGGGCUACACACGUGCUACAAUGGCGCAUACAAAGAGAAGCGACCUCGCGAGAGCAAGCGGACCUCAUAAAGUGCGUCGUAGUCCGGAUUGGAGUCUGCAACUCGACUCCAUGAAGUCGGAAUCGCUAGUAAUCGUGGAUCAGAAUGCCACGGUGAAUACGUUCCCGGGCCUUGUACACACCGCCCGUCACACCAUGGGAGUGGGUUGCAAAAGAAGUAGGUAGCUUAACCUUCGGGAGGGCGCUUACCACUUUGUGAUUCAUGACUGGGG